rnacentral:misc_RNA from 1 species
UACGAAAGGGGCUAGCGUUGUUCGGAAUUACUGGGCGUAAAGCGCGCGUAGGCGGGCUAUCAAGUUGGGGGUGAAAUCCCGGGGCUCAACCCCGGAACUGCCUCCAAAACUGUUAGCCUAGAGGAUGUGAGAGGAUAGUGGAAUUCCGAGUGUAGAGGUGAAAUUCGUAGAUAUUCGGAAGAACACCAGUGGCGAAGGCGACUGUCUGGCACAUUUCUGACGCUGAGGUGCGAAAGCGUGGGGAGCAAACAGG